rnacentral:tRNA from 1 species
UAAUGCAUUAGAAUUAGAAUCUAAAUA